CUACCCAGGGUUUGUGGUCAUUUAUUAGUUUAGUGACUUUUUUGAGCUAAUUCUUUGUUGUGUAACCACUGAAAUCUCUGCCUGGUUCGAUUAGUUGUCAGCUGAUGAUUGGCUAGAGACUCCCUUAAAUUCCUCAAGCCAAUAAGUUUCCCAGUUUAACUAAAGAUCUCUGUAUGUGCAUUGAGAUGUACCUUUAACACUCUGCCAAGCAGUUAACAACUCUGACUUAGCCUUCUGCUUUUCCUGCUUCCGCAGAGCCUCAAAGUUAGCCAGAUGUAAGAGCUUAAGGCCUUCUCAAAUGUUUCCUUAGCAUUUGCAAUGCCUUGAGCUUGUGCACAGCCCUAUGUGCAUGUGCAUGAUCUUCCAGAUUUUGUGUAAUAUGUGAGAGCUUUACAAAGCCACAUUUGGACAUCUCAUUCCUUAGACUGUCUUUUAAGCUUUUUGGUUAGCUUAUUGUUUUCCCAACUGUUUUUCACUGCCUCAGACCUUGAGUUCCAUGUUAGGUCAAAUAAAGACAGUCUUGUUAGUGGGGUCUUCCAGGAAAUCACCAACUAGGCCAAAUAAUAACAAAUUCCAUGUUAAUGGAGUUUUGAAUGAGUUCCAAUUCCAUUCUGCUCCCUCCCAUGGUUGCCAGGCGACUGGUUUUCUCCGUGAUUGCAGGCUAUUGGUUUUCAAGGCUACUGUAGUGCUGGAGAGGGAAUGUCCUCCCUCCUAAUUACCAUGGAGUGGGUUCCUUCUGCUCCCAGCUCAAUGUCAUCUCUACAGAAAGCCCUUUGCUAACCAUCCCCUGAAACAGACUCAAAAGGAUUAAGUCACCCACCUGUGGACACACGGGGUGAAGAAACAAUUUGAAUGUAUUCUCAGCACCCAGGAAUUUAUCAAGUAACAGAUGCUAUACCAGCUAGGAUAACAAGAAAUACCAAAUGCACAGCGGAAAAGGAAAGAUAUGAGAGAGGAAAAUCCAUUUCAGCAUCCGAAAGGACUGAUCGUUAAGCAGCAGUAAGAAUUUAAAAGCCAGUCUCUGAAAGGCCUCAAACAAGUGCCUCUGGAGUGUUCUGGCAGGCUGACAAGAGGACAAAUCCUGGAACUGCAAUUCACAUAGCAACUGGCCAUUCAUCCUGAAAAUAAAUCUACUUUGGUCAUUAUUUAUCCAGCA
rnacentral:lncRNA from 1 species